AAAGGAAUUGACGGGCACCCGCACAAGCGGUGGAGCAUGCUGUUUAAUUCGAAGAUACGCGAAGAACCUUACCUAGACUUGACAUCCUUGGCAAUGCUAUAGAGAUAUAGCGGAGGUUAUCCGAGUGACAGGUGGUGCAUGGUUGUCGUCAGCUCGUGUCGUGAGAUGUUCGGUUAAGUCCGAUAACGAGCGCAACCCUUAUUGCUAGUUACUAACAUUUAGUUGAGAACUCUAGCGAUACUGCCGGUGACAAACCGGAGGAAGGUGGGGAUGACGUCAAAUCAUCAUGCCCCUUACGUCUAGGGCUACAGGCGUGCUACAAUGGCUGGUACAAAAAGUUGCGAUACCGUGAGGUGGAGCUAAUCUCUAAAACCAGUCUCAGUUCGGAUUGGAGUCUGCAACUCGACUCCAUGAAGCUGGAAUCGCUAGUAAUCCUGAAUCAGAAUGUCAGGGUGAAUACGUUCCCGGGUGUUGUACACACCGCCCGU
rnacentral:rRNA from 1 species